UACGAAGGGUGCAAGCGUUACUCGGAAUUACUGGGCGUAAAGCGUGCGUAGGCGGUGGUUUAAGUCUGAUGUGAAAUCCCCGGGCUCAACCUGGGAAUGGCAUUGGAUACUGGAUCGCUAGAGUACGGUAGAGGGUGGUGGAAUUCCCGGUGUAGCAGUGAAAUGCGUAGAGAUCGGGAGGAACAUCUGUGGCGAAGGCGGCCACCUGGACCAGUACUGACGCUGAGGCACGAAAGCGUGGGGAGCAAACAG
rnacentral:rRNA from 1 species